ACCGCAUAAGCCCACGGUACCGCAUGGUACUGAGGGAAAAGGAUUUAUUCGCUUUAGGAUGGACUCGCGUCCAAUUAGCUAGUUGGUGAGGUAACGGCCCACCAAGGCGACGAUUGGUAGCCGGACUGAGAGGUUGAACGGCCACAUUGGGACUGAGACACGGCCCAGACUCCUACGGGAGGCAGCAGUGGGGGAUAUUGCACAAUGGGGGAAACCCUGAUGCAGCGACGCCGCGUGGAGGAAGAAGGUUUUCGGACUGUAAACUCCUGUCGUUAGGGACGAUAAUGACGGUACCUAACAAGAAAGCACCGGCUAACUACGUGCCAGCAGCCGCGGUAAAACGUAGGGUGCAAGCGUUGUCCGGAAUUACUGGGUGUAAAGGGAGCGCAGGCGGGAAGACAAGUUGGAAGUGAAAACCAUGGGCUCAACCCAUGAAUUGCUUUCAAAACUGUUUUUCUUGAGUAGUGCAGAGGUAGAUGGAAUUCCCGGUGUAGCGGUGGAAUGCGUAGAUAUCGGAGGAACACCAGUGGCGAAGGCGGUCUACUGGGCACCAACUGACGCUGAGGCUCGAAAGCAUGGGUAGCAAACAGGAUUAGAUACCCUGGUAGUCCAUGCCGUAAACGAUGAUUACUAGGUGUUGGGGGAUUGACCCCCUCAGUGCCGCAGUUAACACAAUAAGUAAUCCACCUGGGGAGUACGACCGCAAGGUUGAAACUCAAAGGAAUUGACGGGGGCCCGCACAAGCAGUGGAGUAUGUGGUUUAAUUCGAAGCAACGCGAAGAACCUUACCAGGUCUUGACAUCCGAUGCAUAGCACAGAGAUGUGUGAAAUCCUUCGGGACAUCGAGACAGGUGGUGCAUGGUUGUCGUCAGCUCGUGUCGUGAGAUGUUGGGUUAAGUCCCGCAACGAGCGCAACCCUUAUUGCCAGUUACUACGUUAAGAGGACUCUGGCGAGACUGCCGUUGACAAAACGGAGGAAGGUGGGGAUGACGUCAAAUCAUCAUGCCCUUUAUGACCUGGGCUACACACGUACUACAAUGACGUUAAACAAAGAGAAGCAAGACCGCGAGGUGGAGCAAAACUCAAAAACAACGUCUCAGUUCAGAUCGCAGGCUGCAACUCGCCUGCAUGAAGUCGGAAUUGCUAGUAAUCGCGGAUCAGCAUGCCGCGGUGAAUACGUUCCCGGGCCUUGUACACACCGCCCGUCACACCAUGAGAGCCGGGGGGACCCGAAGUCGAUAGUCUAACCGCAAGGAGGACGUCGCCGAAGGUAAAACUGGUGAUUGGGGUGAAGUCGGAACAAGGUAGCCGUA
rnacentral:rRNA from 1 species